rnacentral:lncRNA from 1 species
CUGCUUCAUCUGUGCGCUGUAGUGCGUGCGUGAUUAUGUCAUGGCCAGAAUAAAAGGCAGAAACUCCAAACCCCUUGCCCCUUCCCCUCUUCUUCUCCCUCUUCUCCCUCUUCUCUUCCCUGUUUCCUCUCCAAUAAACCUCUUCUUGUGGAGCUCUGUUGGCCUGGUGUGAUCUGUCCAGAUACGGGCCUCCUUCUAACACAACAGUAACAGGAGCCACCCUGUCUAGCGAAAAGUUGGCAAUGUAUCCGCAAAGAAGAGUUCUCUUCAAGGACGCAGAGCCUUGUGAGUUGAAGGUCAUGUUUUAGAGGCUGCUACCUGGAAGGAUUUACUAUCCUCC